rnacentral:rRNA from 1 species
AGAAGCAAAUAAGAGCGAAUGGUGGAUGCCUAGGCUCUCACAGGCGAUGAAGGACGUGAUAAGCUGCGAUAAGCUGCGGGUAGGUGCAAAUAACCUUUGAUCCGCAGAUUUCCGAAUGGGGCAACCCAAUACAUUGAAGAUGUAUUAUACCUUCGGGUAAGCAAACGCAGGGAACUGAAACAUCUAAGUACCUGUAGGAAAAUAAAACAACAGUGAUUCCCCCAGUAGUGGCGAGCGACCGGGGAACAGCCCAAACCACGAUUGUUUCGGCAUUUGUGGGGUAGUAGGACUGCGAUAUUGUAGCAAUAAACGAAAUGGAACGUUUUGGAAAAAGCGAUCAUAGAGGGUGAUAGUCCCGUACAUAUAAGUUUAUGAUACAUAGCAGAAUCCUGAGUAAGGCGGGACACGAGAAAUCCUGUCUGAAUCGGCCGGGCCCAUCCGGCAAGGCUAAAUACUAGUGAGAGACCGAUAGUGAACCAGUACUGUGAAGGAAAGGUGAAAAGAACCCCGAACAGGGGAGUGCAAUAGUCCCUGAACCCAUUCGCUUACAAGCUGUCGGAGCCCUUUUUGGGGUGACGGCGUGCCUUUUGCAUAAUGAGCCUACGAGUUACUCGUCUCUGGCGAGGUUAAGUACGUAAACGUACGUGAGCCGAAGCGAAAGCAAGUCCUAAACAGGCGACUAGUCAGAGGCGGUAGACGCGAAACCUUAGUGAUCUACCCAUGAGCAGGUUGAAGGUUUGGUAACACAAACUGGAGGACCGAACCGAUAAGCGUUGAAAAGCUUCCGGAUGACUUGUGGGUAGGGGUGAAAGGCCAAUCAAACUGGGAAAUAGCUCGUACUCUCCGAAAUGCAUUUAGGUGCAGCCUCUGUUUUUCAGUUACUGAGGUAGAGCUACUGAUUGGAUGCGAGGGCUUCACCGCCUAUCAAAUCCGGCCAAACUCCGAAUGCAGUAACUUUACAGACAGGGAGUGAGCCCGCGGGUGCUAAGGUCCGCGGACGAAAGAGGAAGAACUCAGCCCAUCAGCUAAGGCCCCGAAUUGUAUGCUAAGUUGACAAAACGCGGUGGAACAGCACAGACAGCUAGGAUGUUGGCUUGGAAGCAGCCAUUCAUUUAAAGAGUGCGUAACAGCUCACUAGUCGAGCGGUUCUGCAUGGAUAAUACACGGGCAUAAGCAUACAGCCGAAGCUAUGGACUCAUCGAAAGGUGAGUGGUAGGAGAGCAUUCCAUUUAGCGUUGAAGCAGUAUCGUGAGGUAUUGUGGAGCAGAUGGAAAAGCAAAUGUAGGCAUAAGUAACGAUAAUGCGGGUGAGAACCCCGCACGCCGAAAGGUCAAGGAUUCCCCGGCAAUGUCAAUCAACCGGGGGUAAGUCGGGUCCUAAGUCGAAGCCGAAGGGCGUAGACGAUGGCCAACAGGUUAAUAUUCCUGUACUCAUAUAUGCUGCGAUGCAGGGACGUAGUAGUGACACCGCUGCGUACAGACGAAAUAGUACGUUGAAGCCUUUAUCUGUCGAUGCUGAUAGUUAAGUACGUCAGCAGAGGAGAUGGGUGAUAGUACCGCAAGGCUUCGGCUGCGCGGAUAAUGCGGGUAAUCAGACUACCAAGAAAAUCUGCUAAGCUUCAGGCAUAUAUGACCCGUACUGUAAACGGACACACGUGACCGGGUAGAGAAUACUAAGGCGCUCGAGAUAUUCAUGGCUAAGGAACUAGGCAAAAUGGUCCUGUAACUUCGGGAUAAAGGACGCUGGGGUAAAAUCCAGCCGCAGUAAAAUGGCCCAGGCGACUGUUUACCAAAAACACAUGGCUAUGCUAAAUCGUAAGAUGAUGUAUAUGGCCUGACACCUGCCCGGUGCUGGAAGGUUAAGAGGAGGGUUUAGUAGCAAUACGACGAUCUGAAUUGAAGCCCCAGUAAACGGCGGCCGUAACUAUAACGGUCCUAAGGUAGCGAAAUUCCUUGUC